CCUACGGGUGGCAGCAGUGAGGAAUAUUGGUCAAUGGACGAGAGUCUGAACCAGCCAAGUAGCGUGAAGGAUGACUGCCCUAUGGGUUGUAAACUUCUUUUAUAUGGGAAUAAAAUGCUCCACGUGUGGGAUUUUGUAUGUACCAUAUGAAUAAGGAUCGGCUAACUCCGUGCCAGCAGCCGCGGUAAUACGGAGGAUCCGAGCGUUAUCCGGAUUUAUUGGGUUUAAAGGGAGCGUAGGUGGAUUGUUAAGUCAGUUGUGAAAGUUUGCGGCUUAACCGCAGAACUGCAUUUGAAACUGUUGAUCUUGAGUACUGGGAAGGCAGGCGGAAUUCCUAGUGUAGCGGUGAAAUGCGUAGAUAUUAGGAAGAACACCAGUGGCGAAGGCAGUCUACUGGACAGCAACUGACGGUGAGGCGCGAAGGCGUGGGGAGCAAACAGGAUUAGAUACCCGAGUAGUC
rnacentral:rRNA from 1 species